rnacentral:miRNA from 1 species
GGGAAAAGGAAAGAGGAGGA